UCUUUGCAGAAUAACUCAGAGAAAACAGCUGAAGUGGAAUGUGGGGACUUUUAUAACACUGGGGACAGAGCAACUGUUGAUGAACAGGGCUACUUCUGGUUCCUUGGGAGGAGUGAUGAUGUCAUCAAUGCAUCCGGGUACCGCAUUGGGCCAGCAGAAGUAGAGAAUGCCCUGGCAGAACACCCAGCGGUGGCCGAGUCUGCUGUGGUGAGCAGCCCGGACCCGGUUCGAGGAGAGGUAGUGAAGGCAUUUAUUGUCCUGAACCCAGAAUUCUCGUGCCGUGACCAAGAUGAGCUCAUCAAGGAGCUGCAGCAGCAUGUGAAGUCAGUGACGGCCCCUUACAAGUACCCAAGGAAAGUGGAGUUUGUCUCAGAGCUGCCCAAAACCAUCACUGGCAAGAUAAAAAGAAGUGAGCUUCGGAAGAAGGAGUUUGGUCAGAAGUAGUUGGCAAAAAACUCAGAAGUCAUCUUGUGAUCUUGGCCAAAUUCCUAACUGCCUCAGUUUCCUCAUGAUGGUGAGGAUGAGGAGAGGAAUGUUGAGAGAGAUGACUUGAAAGAGAACCAGGAGGGACAACAUCCCAGCAUUUUGGUACUUUCAAAUUAAUAUCAGUCACUGUCCUUUCUUCAAGUUCCCUGUUCCUCUAAGAUUGCCCAGGUGAGUGGGCAGAAUGGAGCUAAAAGAAAUAAAAUAUUUGAGUUAGCGUC